AAAAAGAUUGAGUACCACUUGUCUGCAAGAAGAAGAACUUCCAUUGAACAUUAAUUGGUGGAACCAUUGCAGUGAUUUGAGCAAAAAGAUUGUGCUACAGAAGAGACUAUUAUUGGGGCGUGCACUUGAUCGACUGCUUUAUAAUGGUUGAUGAUAAAGGUAUGAAUUUGGUCCACUAACUUAUAUUAUAAUUUUAUUUUGAAUUUCUUUAUUGAAUGAAUUCAAUAUAGUUUGUGCAUAUGGCUGGCGUAUAACUUGGAAAUUUAGUGGUUGGUUUACUUGGUGGACAUUGUCUUGGAGGAAUUAACGCAAACGACUGGAAGGUCAGAAAGUAUAAAUGGAUUUAUCUACAGAUUCAUUGCCUCUCACACUUCUUUAAAAGAUUUUGUCAAACAUGUAACUCUAAUUGUGUUUAAUAUAUGCUCAAAACAUUAUAAUGUCUUUAAUUAAUAUGGUUUUUAAAAUUACAUUUGAUAUUGAACAAACUCAAUCUCAUGAUAUACCAUGUCAGAGAGUUAUAUAUGUAUAUAAGAGUUCUUCUAAUUUGAGAAUGAUCCCAUGCUUUUAAAUUGUUUCAAAAAGAGUUUGGUCCAGCAAUUCAAUAUAUAAUACUGCAUGAAAAUGGAUGUGAACUUUUGGUGCAAUAUUACUAGGAAACAAGUAGUCAAAAGCACAUAGUAUAGUGUUGUGAAAUGCUAAUUUGGCUUCUUAUGGUUAUAAGCAAUUUGAGUUUUUUGGGAUUCUUUGUCGGGUAUAUUUUAAGUGUGUUCCUUCACAAAGAUUGGUAUGAGAUCCCUUCAGCGGUGUACUUGCCAUCAAGGUGGAGACGAGAAGCAAUAUCACAAAAUGGAGGAAAUGUGGAUGUUUUAGAAGAACAAGUUUUGAAUGAGGAUCCCUUGUUAGAGAGCAAUUAAUAAUAUGAUAUGAUCAUGGAAGAUGCUCUUGUUGGUUGUUCUGAUCCAACCUCAAAAACAAAGGGAAAUCCUAGUUAGAGGAAAAGAAUGAAGGGUGGAAGACAUGUAUGAGUUUGCGAGCGAACGUGU
rnacentral:lncRNA from 1 species